rnacentral:rRNA from 1 species
AGAAUCAACGCUGGCGGCGUGCCUAACACAUGCAAGUCGAACGAGAAAGUGGGAGCAAUCCCAUGAGUAAAGUGGCGCACGGGUGAGUAACACGUGACUAACCUACCCUUGAGUGGGGGAUAACCUAGGGAAACCUGGGCUAAUACCGCAUAAUACCUACGGGUCAAAGGAGCAAUUCGCUUUAGGAGGGGGUCGCGGCAGAUUAGUUAGUUGGCGGGGUAAUGGCCCACCAAGACAGUGAUCUGUAUCCGGCCUGAGGGGCGCACGGACGACGACUGGAACUGAAACACGGUCCAGACUCCUACGGGAGGCAGCAGUGGGGAAUUUGCGCAAUGGGGGAAACCCUGACGCAGCAACGCCGCGUGGAGGAUGAAGCCCCUUGGGGCGUAAACUCCUUUCGAUCGGGAAGAUAAUGACGGUACCGGAAGAAGAAGCCCGGCUAACUUCGCGCCAGCAGCCGC